rnacentral:rRNA from 1 species
GAUGAACGCUGGCGGCGUGCUUAACACAUGCAAGUCGAACGGAAAGGCCCAAGCUUGCUUGGGUACUCGAGUGGCGAACGGGUGAGUAACACGUGGGUGAUCUGCCCUGCACUUCGGGAUAAGCCUGGGAAACUGGGUCUAAUACCGGAUAGGACCACAUUUUGGAUGGUGUGGUGGAAAGUUUUUCGGUGUGGGGUGAGCUCGCGGCCUAUCAGCUUGUUGGUGGGGUAAUGGCCUACCAAGGCGUCGACGGGUAGCCGGCCUGAGAGGGUGUACGGCCACAUUGGGACUGAGAUACGGCCCAGACUCCUACGGGAGGCAGCAGUGGGGAAUAUUGCACAAUGGGCGCAAGCCUGAUGCAGCGACGCCGCGUGGGGGAUGACGGCCUUCGGGUUGGAAACUCCUUUCGCUAGGGACGAAGCGUUAUGUGACGGUACCUGGAGAAGAAGCACCGGCUAACUACGUG